GAACAAACAGCUAAAUUUUAUUCAUAAAUUAACCAAGAGCAUGUACAAAAACCUGCCAUCCAGGCAUGUAUUUAUACAACACAUUCAGGCACGUGAAAAAACCAUUUUCAAGAACAACCUGUUAUAUAAAGUAGAGAGAGGGGUGUAUUACAUACUUCUGGUCCUUGCAAAAGACUAACCAAGAGCAGUUUAGUACAGUUUCCCAUUAAAAAAAACAAAAAAGAGUAUAACGACAUGUGAAACAUGUAGUACAACCUCAAAGCUUUUUUGGUUUUCUUGUUCUCGCGGUCACUUGACUCAAAAAUAUUUCCUGCAGUAAAAGGGGAAACUGGAUUUCGAGAUUGAAAUCCGAUAUUCUUAUUUCAAAGUCCUGUUUUCUUCCGACGACCUAAUGUUUCACCAUUUCCCUGAAAAGAUCCACGUCUGGAAAGUAAUUAAGUUAAGGAUAUGCGUAUGUGUAAUGCAAGUUAAGAUGUAUCAUAUAUUCAUAUAUUCUCUGAAACUGAAAAUUGUAGUACCUGAAGACUCAAACUGAGCAUACCAUUAAAGGUAUUUUCAAGAAGGAUUUCCGCUUGUUCAUGAAAUGCAGUGAUGUCUUUGUAUUUUGAUAUUUGAUUUGGAAAUCGAUUCUUAACCUGUGAAAGCA
rnacentral:lncRNA from 1 species